GCCGGCGUGGUGGAAUGGUAGACACGAUAGACUCAAAAUCUAUUGCGGGCGACCGUGUAUGAGUUCAAGUCUCAUCGCCGGUA
rnacentral:tRNA from 2 species